GUGGGUUACAUUGUCAGCCAGUUCGCCAUCAUAAGUGUAAUGCCAAGAAUAUUAGGUUGAUAACAAUGAACAACUUACUUCCGUCAUCAAUAAAGAUGCAUCAGAAAUAUGAUCUAAAAGGUUCUACGUACAAAAGAAAGGCUAGUAAGUAUGAACGAAGCAAAGAAUC